UCCUCGGCCGGAGCGGAGAGGUACCUCCGGCCGCUCAGCGCGGCCCGCCGUCGCUCCCGCCUUGCGCAUGCGCGCCUGGCGCGGGUGGCCAUGCGUCUCCAGCGCGGCCAACUGAGCCCACCCCCGGGAAACAGCCGCUCUGCUGUGGGCUUCCGCCUACCCGCUCUCCGUCCGACCGGCCUGACGCCUCCCUGACGCCUGUUUGCUGCAAGAGUCAGCCAGGGCUUGGAGCUCUCACGUAGAGGCCGGUGCCUGGGCCGGAGAAACUCCGGGGUUGUUUACGUUUGGCUCGUGUCUGCCCGCCGCCCACCCCCGGAUGUGUGACGUCUAGGCACGGAUGUGACGUCACCGCGCAGAGUUCUAAGGACCCAGGCGUCACUCCGGAUCAGGAGCUGGGAGCGCCAGGCUCAGUGCCCUCUGGUGCCCACUCCGGAGACAGCCGUGUGUAGGGAUGUAUGCAUGGGGUCAAGGGCUCCGCGCAUGUGUAUUUGGCCCGGGUUCGCUUCAUAGUCAUGCAUUUACCCAUGCAUUUAUUCAUUUAACAACUUUGUAUCUAACAUCUCUUCUGCUGAGCGUCUCGUAGGUCAAGCACUCCCCAAGGACAGUGGUCCUGUCUCCACACGUAAGCCCAGUUUCAUCUGUGCAUUUAUUCAGGAUUCAGAGGGGUCCUUACAAAGAUGUCACCCCCCACAGCACACACACUUUCUCUGGAGGACUCUGCAUCCCCAUUACAGGAAUCUGUGGGUUCUGACCUACAAAAGCUCCAAGAUAUAGAGGACUUGCCCCUUAUGGUCACAAGAGGGAGCUGUGGACCGCACCGUCUGCCUGCCUCUCCUACCUUGGAAGAAUAGGCUCCUCCUCAAGAUGCUGCUUCCCACUCCCACCCCCCACCCCCAAGGCAGGAGAGAUGGAACUAGAAAUGCCGGCUGGCCAUCCUUUAUCUGCAAGCCUGAAAUCCAAGAAAAAUCUGCAAACGAAAUCUUUCCUCAUCUGGCACCAAUACUUAAUCUGAACUGAGGCCAGGACUAGGGUGAAGGAAGUGAGGCACUGGCCCCAGGCACAAAACUUAAGUGGGUGCCCAAAAACUCAGUAAUCAAGAGGAAUACUAUUUUAAUGCAGUAUUUUAAAAAAUAAACAUUCAUGCAAAAAGAUCCACGACGAACAAAAUAUCACAAUUACCCACAGGAUCUGACCCCGCACUUACACGACACAGCUCACCUAGUCCCAGCUCUGCCGUGCAGCACAGUGGUGAGUAGCUGAUGAGCUGCUUGAGGGCAGGGAUCCUGUCUGCCUUGGUCCCUACUGUGUCCCCAGAGCCUAACGCAGUGUCAGGCACAUACUCGGUGCUCAGUAUAAUCUGUGAGCUGACGUAAAUGGGCAGGCAGGCAGUUGGUUCUUCCCUUUGCUAGUUUGUUCCCUCACUUUCUUGCUUGCUCCCUCACUCACUGUGUACUCUGGGUCUCCUGCAUAUCAGGCACUGUGCUGGCAGGGAGAGGGGACACAAAGAGUAAUAGACCUUGUAUAUCUCCACAACGCCCUCUUACUCUGGUGGACUGCACAUAGAGAAGAAAUACUUGAACUGAUGUGCAGCAAUCCUCUCAGGAAGGGCUGCCAGGUUCAGUUGUGCAGGCUGUAUACUGCCCAAAUCCAGGGGUAUCAUUCACAUUGAUGACAAUGUGCAUGGCUCUGCCUGCAGUUGUGCAGUACAGUGGCCAGCCUACAGGGGUCCAAAGAAGAGGGAGGCUGAAUUCAGCCUGGUGGGGGGGGUGUGUGACAGCAAACGUUGAUGACACAGCAGGAAAAGAGCCAGACAGCUUGGGAAGCAAAAGGCCAUGAAAUAAAGGGGCCCCUGAAGCCUUUGCUAUUUGGAUUCUGCCCUGGGGACGGUCCAUAAAACACACAGUAUCUAAUCGUAUUUACAGCAGGCCCAUGGAAUGUUAGGCUCUUUUUCCAGAAUAAAAUGGACUUCAGAAACCUGGAGGAAAUCUGGACCAUGGGCAGAGGCCAGCUAUCAGAGGCAAAGGACAUGAGUAAUGAAUAAUUUAUUUUUUGAUAACUGGAGAAAGAUCACCUUCAUAUACAUGAUCUCACUUGAGCCUCACCAUCACCCUAGUUGUAGAAGAGAAACUGCGAUUUGGAGCAGCUGAGUGACUUGCUCAAGGUCACAGGCCGCCAAAGGGCAAAGGCAGGGCUGGA